ACUUUAUAUAUCAUGAAGUAAUCAAAUCAUUUUCUAUUUAUUACAGGCAAAAGGAGAAAAACAUGACUAGUUUUCUCAAAUUUGUUUACAUUAUGGUCCUUUUCCUUUCCUUAUUUCUUAUUGCAACAGAUGUUAAAGCUUUUUUAAAAUGUGAUUCUGACCUCGAUUGUCCACCUAAAAUGUGUUAUAGUCAUCUUUCUUUUGUUCCGUUGUGUGUUGACAAUCAUUGUGAUUGUAUUCAAUGGAAAUUUAAGAACAAUAUCCCUAAGGCUUUUCCAUGAGUAGCCAUAUUCUGUUAUUGUUUGGCACCAAAUAGUUGGAUAUUUUUCCCUAUGAAAAAUUAAACUUUUUUAUUUAUGCCUUUAUACUCUAAGAUGAAGAUAAUGAAAUGAAAUAUGAUAGAAAAAAAUAUUUCUUAUCUUA